rnacentral:tRNA from 1 species
AGGUGUAGCGCAGUUGGUAGCGCGCUUGGUUCGGGACCAAGAGGCCGUGGGUUCGAAUCCCGCCACUU